AUUUACUAGAAGCCUGGCCCUUGGUACCCAGGCACGGCAGUCUUAGAUCAUGCUGUUUCUGGUUCAGUAAUUUAUGACUUGAGAGCUUCAGAUGAUUUUUUUGCAGGAUUGCAAAAGCGCUGAAAAAGCCAAGUUCCUUUAAGCGGAAAUGGAAUCCCAGUCUCCUUGCCAACACGUUAUGGAGAAGAUGCGAGGUCAAUCAUCAAUCAGUGCAGUUGAAGGCAAAAAGGAUGAAGAAUGGAAUAAACUGAAAUUGAGAAG